GAUGAACGCUGGCGGCGUGCCUAAUACAUGCAAGUCGAGCGAACGGACGAGAAUCUUGCUUCUCUUAUGUUAGCGGCGGACGGGUGAGUAACACGUGGAUAACCUACCUAUAAGACUGGGAUAACUUCGGGAAACCGGAGCUAAUACCGGAUGAUAUUUUGAACCGCAUGGUUCAAAAGUGAAAGACGGUCUUGCUGUCCCUUAUAGAUGGAUCCUCGCUGCAUUAGCUAGUUGGUAAGGUAACGGCUUACCAAGGCAACGAUGCAUAGCCGACCUGAGAGGGUGAUCGGCCACACUGGAACUGAGACACGGUCCAGACUCCUACGGGAGGCAGCAGUAGGGAAUCUUGCGCAAUGGGCGAAAGCCUGACGGAGCAACGCCGCGUGAGUGAUGAAGGUCUUCGGAUCGUAAAACUCUGUUAUUAGGGAAGAACAUAUGUGUAAGUAAAUGUGCACAUCUUGACGGUACCUAAUCAGAAAGCCACGGCUAACUACGUG
rnacentral:rRNA from 1 species